rnacentral:rRNA from 1 species
CAACGAUGAAGAGUUUGAUCCUGGCUCAGGAUGAACGCUAGCGGCAGGCCUAACACAUGCAAGUCGAGGGGCAGCAUAGAUUGCUUGCAAUCUGAUGGCGACCGGCGCAC